CCUGAGAAACCCAAAAGAUCGAAUGGGGAGAUUCAUCGUCAGCUCAUUUUGUAUAUGUAUAAGUUAUGAUGCGGGUUACUACUUGUAGUAUUGCCUGCACAUUCUUGUAUAUUUAGUUGCAAAAUGUUGUCGGCGUGCACUUCUCCCCUAGUAGGACGUCGCGACCUGUUGGGUGUCGGUCUACGGCCCAAGUGAUAGACUUUAAUGUAAUUUAAAAAGCAUUAAAGAUCCUUGGUGUUUUCUGACCGGCUACUUGGCAGUAUUCGUACGGUAUUUAGCCGCUAAUUUAAUUUAAGCGUCCAUAUCCGUCACAAGCGAGGCUAAUUUACUGAUAGUACGGACCUAGUGCCGUCGUUGGUAUUGGCCAGCUGUUGGUUGUAUGGUAUUCUAGGACUGGCUAAAAUUAAUUACCGGUCGGCGAUGCUACUGCUUUGGGUACUUUCAGG
rnacentral:rRNA from 1 species